AGUGUCGGGCGCGGGUGCUCCCAAAGCGCAGCGGGCCCACCUCCCCCGGCAGAGGAUCGUGCGGCGGUCAAAGUCGCACACGGGGCUUCUGAGACGUGCGGCCCGGGCCUAAGAGCUGCAUGUGUGCAAGCCGCUCCGUGUUGGAAAAUGACGGUGCCGGCUGAAAGGGAAGUGUCAGCUGUUCUUCUGUCUUUAAAAGGCAGCAAAGAAAAAAGCGCAGGGUUGGGUUUCGUAACGUCAGAGGAGGCCAAGGACACAGCAUGGAAUCUGACGGGAAACGCAUGUGGGCGAGGAGGUGAUGGGCUUCAAGGCGCGGCUCUCUGGUCGCAAGCCGCCUGUUCUCAGAAUACAGCUGGCUGUGUUGUAAUCGCACGCUGAUCUCACAAUAAAUAACGUGUGCA
rnacentral:lncRNA from 1 species